AAUCAACGCUGGCGGCGUGCCUAACACAUGCAAGUCGAACGCGACUGGGGACUUCGGUUCCCAGUUGAGUGGCGAACGGGUGAGUAACACGUGGGUGAUCUACCUUCGAGUGGGGGAUAACGUUCCGAAAGGAACGCUAAUACCGCAUGACGUUCCGGGUUUGAAGACCUGGAAACCAAAGCCGGGGACCGCAAGGCCUGGCGCUCAAAGAGGAGCCCGCGUCCGAUUAGCUAGUUGGCGGGUAACGCCACCAGGCGACGAUCGGUAGCCGGCCUGAGAGGGCGGACGGCCACACUGGGACUGAGACACGGCCCAGACUCCUACGGGAGGCAGCAGUGGGGAAUUGUUCGCAAUGGGCGCAAGCCUGACGACGCAACGCCGCGUGGGGAUGAAGGUCUUCGGAUUGUAAACCCCUGUCGAGCGGGGACGAAUGGCUCACGAGCUAAUCAAUCGUGAGAAUGACGGUACCG
rnacentral:rRNA from 1 species